AGUUAUUAUAAGAGCAAAUGCCUUAAGAUUAGAAGAGCACACACGCACAACACUUUACUGUGAAAAACGUAUGGUAAUGGAAAUGACAUGCCUUGUAUCUAAGCGUCUAAAAGGUCAGUGGAGGUCAUUAUGCCCUCCCCCGAUGUGAGCGGGCUGUCACAUAUCAUCUGCUCAUGUAUAUCACAUAGAGAAAGGUUAUGAGUUUGUGUUGUUUUGCCCGAAUCGUCAGAACAAAGACUACGUGUUAAUGAUUUGGGGAGAUGAAUAUCUACAUUUCAUUAAUAUUCCCAUCGCUUAUAAAUCUGAAACGUUCAACUACCAUUCAUUUAAUAUUGAUGGAUUUUUGGAGGUUGUUUUUUUUAAAUUUUAACUUUCAGCGUUCUAGUAACACCAUGCUCAGGACUCAUACAGAGAGCAGUGCGACAAUGAAUAUGAAUGAGGAGGUAAACACAGAGCUGCACUUUGUAUUGACUGGAGCUCGAGUCAGAUGACUGUGCCUGUUGAAGUCUAAUGGAAGUAAUGCAGCCCUUUAUAUUCAAAGGAUGACAUCAGCUGUGACAUCGUCCCUGCUCUCCAGGGCAAGAAUGGACCUUUUUUUCCACACAAAACCCACUGCUCAACACAAUGCAACAAUAAUAACAACACAAACACACACAGGCGUAUACCUACACCAGUCCUGCACACACACACACACACACACACACACACACACACACACACACACACACACACACACACACACACACACACACACACACACACCCCCACAGUCACAGAAACACACAUUUGCCAUUUGUCAGUCAUUCCUUCUGCAUAUGCUGUAAACUAAAGAACCACCCCCCCUUGAUUUUUUCUUUCAGAGUCCUCCCAUCUCUGGAGUCUCCUGAUCUAGAGUUUCUCACUCCAACUGAGGAGAUAGCUGCUCAUCUGAGACAGGAGGAUAUCCAACCAUCGGAGCCAGCAGUAGGGAAGACGACAGAGAUCCCACCUCUGAAUCUUGUGAAAAAGCCUGUGGAUUUUCCUAAACCUUUAAAGAAGGCAGCCCAGCACCUGGAACCAACACGGCAGGCAGUAGGGCAUUCCGAACCAACCCAGACAACCACAGAAGAGCCCUCAGAACCAACCAAGAAAGAAGAAGAGCCCCCAGAAGAACUUCCAGAAGCCAAAGGGGAUCCAGAAACUCCAUCAGAAAUAGUCGAGGGGACAGCGGAGCUCGUAGAUCCAGCAAUAAGCACAGAGCUGCUCCCAGAAUCAACGAAGAAUGAGGAACCAGAACCAACCAAGGUGAAAGCAGAACCCCUAGAACCAGAGAAGAAGCUGAUUAUUGAGCCCCUAGAGGAUCUGGUGGAAAAAUCUGUUGAGAUCCCACUGGAGGAGCCAUUCAAAGAGCCAGCCGAGGAAACUGCCGUGUCAGAAGCCGUCCAGGAUCCUGCUGAGGAGCUACAAGACAGCAGGCUCUCCCUCGCUGAGCAGGCAGAGAGAAGUGACCGUCCCCCUGCCUCACCCCUACCUCCUCCCUCCGAAAACCUCUUCCCGCCUGCCCCCCCUCUUCACCUCCACGACAGUGCCGAGUUCCCCACUCCUCCUCCCACACCCCCGGAGAGGCACACACCUGAAGUUCUACCAACCCCACCCGCAUCCCCCUGCCUUCCUCCUCCUCCUCCUCCUCCUCCAGCCCCUGCAUCCUCAUCUGCCUGCCCUGCUUCUGCAGCACGCCACCCCCCCUUAAGGUAUGGACAUGAACUCUGCAACAGCAUGUUGCUGCUCCCGGACCUGUUCCAUUAAGUCUUACCAUUUAUCAUGUUAAAAAUGUGUGUGUGUGUGUGUGUGUGUGUGUGUGUGUGUUUUGUGCGUGUCUCCAGUCGUACAGUGACACAUUUUGUGUGUGUCAUACAGUGUGUUUGUUUGGAAGACAUGGCUAGACGGAAUAUCGUUAUUGCUCUUCCAUUGUUGGAAGCAGUUGGUUACAGUAGAUUUGCUGUCAUUAGUCCUUUUAGCCUCCUUGAUGAAAAGUAGCCAUGUCCUUAUCCUUUCAAUCUCAGUCCAGGUCAAAUUACAGCAUUACAUCGACAUCUGGUGCACUGAAUUACGUUGUGCAUGUUAAUUCUGAGAGCUCCAGACAUACGGUUGCUUGAAAAAACUGAUACCACUCUCAUGUCAACACGGUAAAUAUGUAGCUGGGCUAGACAGUUGGUCAGCUUUGCAUUAAGAGGAUAUUUGACACGACAGUGAUAUCAGUAUUGUCAUUUAGCUCGUGACAAGAAGGUGAAUCAGAAUAUUUCUCUAAAUGUUGAAUUAUGCCUUAAAAAAGGAACCUUUAAACACAAUUCUGAUUGAGGCAAUAAUGCCGCAUGUGACACAGUGUAAUCCAGAGAAACCUCUCCUCUUAACCCAGUCACAAAAUUACAGUUUAGCAUUGCUCUGCAUGCCAAACUGGAUUUGCUAAUGUAUGAAUUUAGUGGUCGUGGAAACUCAAAUGCACACUGUAUAAUUGUGGCUUGCUAAUAGUUGAUACAACAAUGGCAUUACGGGUCAUAUUACUUUUUUGGGAGAAUUAAAACAACAAGUCUUUCACAACACAAUCUGCACUAUCAUACUACAUAUUAUGGCUUCAUGUGCAGCACUCUGGAGAUCAUCAAGCAAUGAUUUCCAUUCAUAACUUCCAUGCUUACUAUAUUAAAAUGCUUCUCAUUUUUCCUUUGCUAUCAGCGCAGGUCACCCAGUUAUGACACUACACAAUCCUCUGCAGCGCUUUUUGGCUUCGCAAUUUAUUUAUUUGUUUCACAGACUUUAUUUUGUUGGAGGGAAUGACUCAGCCACUUCCGCAGUGCUAUGUACAGCCAGCAGAUGGCGCAGAGUCCAGUGUUCAUGUUUAAAUGCUGGCCUGUGUCUGCACUCUGCUGUCUGACUGCUGCAGUCACCUGGCGCGUACAUGAAUGAACACAGGGAGACACACCAGCUCCCGUGUCUCCCACAAUGCAGCUGUGUUGAAUUGGAAAGGUCUCUGUGUAGUUAUCUAUUUAAAAUUACAAAUUACUUGAUGCUACUUGGCUUUCUAACUGCGUCCAUUACUCAGAGAAGACCAGAAUUUUGAGAGGGCUUGGAAAGCACACUAUCAUUAUUUAUGACAUGUAAGAGGACUGUAGGAUAACAAUUUGGCAUGUCACAGUUUAUCUUGUUUGCCCCCAGACACCGAGGUGGGGCCAUGGCAUCAUAUGUGCAAAGUGAGGACUGUAUAUGUAUGUUUGUUGAAUAUAUGAAGAUCAUCUUUAUUGAUAGUAAAGUGAUGUUAAAAUUUAACAUCUCCUUUUAAGCUGCCAGAAAUUUAUUAUCUUGCUAGGGGAAGAAUCUUGCCAGCAAAAGUCUUGAAUCUGCCUCAUCUAAUUGAAAACGUGGCUCCUUUAAUCAGUAAGUUAAUCGUAAAAAAAAUGAAUUUGCCUGAACUCUUGUCCUAGAGUUGCAUUGUAAGUAAUAAUUAUAUCCUCCUGUGAAAAACAAAACAAAAACAAAGCUUCAUUCCUUUUUUGACUAUAUAAUUAUUCAAAUGUAUUAAACCAUCAAUGACACAUUUUGGCCAUAUUAUGCUCCAGGCACCUUUUCAGCCUGCCUCCACGUAUAUCUGGUUAUCUGGGGUGUCUGCCAGCCCACGGAGAAUGAAAAGAAAACAAUGAGUCGUUGAUUCGUGGUUUGGGUUGAUCGUGCAGACGGUCUGUAAACGAGCCAUUCACAGCCCGGGCGUCAAGUGACGUAAGUUGACUCCUGCUACUGGGGCGACCACGCCCCCAACCUGAGCAGCACCUCCCCCCUUGAAGUGCGGAAAAACAGAUCGCGUCUACGCCAUCAUUUUCUCGCGGCUCCCGGCCUUCGUUCGCGGCUGCCGGCGUUCGUUCGCGGCUGCCGGCGUUCGUUCGCGGCUGCCGGCGGUCGGUCGCGGCUCCCGGCUUGCGGCGUUCGGUCGCGGCUCUCGGCUUGGGGCGGUCGGUCGCGGCUCCCGGCUUGCGGCGGAGGUCGCGGCUCCCGGCGGUCGGUCGCGGCUCCCGGCUUGGGGCGGUCGGUCGCGGCUCCCGGCUUGGGGCGGUCGGUCGCGGCUCCCGGCUUGGGGCGGUCGGUCGCGGCUCCCGGCUUGGGGCGGUCGGUCGCGGCUCCCGGGGGUCGGUCGCGGCUCCCGGCUUGGGGCGGAGGUCGCGGCUGCCGGCUUGCGGCGUUCGGUCGCGGCUCUCGGCUUGGGGCGGUCGGUCGCGGCUCCCGCCUCCCGGCGGCUGCCGGCGGAGGUCGCGGCUGCCGGGCGGUCGGUCGCGGCUCUCGGCUUGGGGCGGUCGGUCGCGGCUCCCGGCUUGGGGCGGUCGGUCGCGGCUCCCGGCUUGGGGCGGUCGGUCGCGGCUCGGGGCGGUCGGUCGCGCUCCCGGCUGGCGGAGGUCGCGGCUGCCGGCUUGCGGCGGUCGGGUCGCGCUCGGCUUGGGGCGGUCGGUCGCGGCUCCCGCCUUCCCCGCGGU
rnacentral:lncRNA from 1 species